rnacentral:lncRNA from 1 species
GUCCUUCCUCCGCAAUCCGCCGCAGAGAACAUCGGAACCCUCAGGAAGCUUCUAGAAGCCGCCCGCGCGGAGCCCCCAUGGAGAAGGAGAAGCAGAAGCAGGGGGCCGACGGCGCCCUCCUCCUCGCGCUGCGCUGCUCCAGGGCGUCUCUCGUCCUCUCCUCCCUCCGCCAGCCACCCCCCUCGACGGCGACGACCCGCCGGACCUCAUCCUCCGUGGUAACCCGGAACGCCGCGCCUCCUCCGCUUCCCCGUGGCAUGCGCGACGCUUAGCUCCGACGCGUCUGUCUUACCGUCGCGCUUUCUCUCGUCGCAGGAGUUCGACCUCCGGAACGCGCGCCUCCUCGACGCCGAGCUCGCGGCGGCGCGGCGCGCGGCUGCCAGAAGCGCGCGGACAUCCGCCGCUGAGAUUCUCUUCGUCGUUGCUCUGGCCCCCCUCCUCAUCCUCUUCGUCGCGCUUCUAGCGGCGGCGCUGGCGGAGGCUGCCGCGGAAGGGGUGGCUUGACCCGCUUGCCGACGACGUCAUGAGAUGAUGCGGCGACUGAACCCAAACCCUCCGUGUUAAUUCCCCCCUUCCGGGCUCCGUAAGUUGACUCUGUUUCUCUUCAGCUGAGAAAGGAAGCUGGUAUCUCGAUUGUGGUACGGGCCUGUUUGGUGUUUUCGGUCUGUACGGUAGGUGUUCGACCAAAUGCAUGUUCCUUCGUAGUUGUGUGCACAGAGUAAGGCUAAGGUUGUAGUGAUAAUUAAGAGAUCAGACGAAAUCAUAGGGUGAUGAAUGGUGCCUGUCUCAUUGAGUUGCAUUGUUCUACUGUUUUCUGAUCGAAUUAUGCUGAUGGAAUGGUAGAUGCAGGGAUAUGCCUUGCAGUGUUGCUGCUUGUGUGCCAUGAUCCAUAGAUUGUGAAAAGGGCACUGGCGAUGAAAUUUCACGAUGGGUGUUAUGUUGCUAGUCUAUGAUUAUUCUUUCAAGUGAAAAGUAAAUGUGUUUGAGCUUAGUCAAUUGUUCAUUGCAUUUAGGCAGCAUCCUCAUCAGGAUCAUGCAUUGCUUUAUUUCUCCUUUGUAUGAGUAAGGGUGGCCCAUGCAUUUGCGCUGCUAGACUUUUCACGUGUUUUACUUUGAGAAGCUGAUAGAAAGGUAGACAUGUAAAAUUAUAGAUAAACUUGUGGUCGAAAUGUAUGAAACUCAUUUGGCAUUGUUUUUUAAUGAACUGCUUGCCCCCUGCAAGUUGCUUAUGUAUUUAACUGUGAAAACUCUCUAGUCAAGUGUUUAUAUAGUUUAGCCAUGUACGCUAAUGUAUUAUCCGUGUAUGUUGGCUUAGAAUUGCUAAAGCCUUUCUCACUAAGGCUGAAUUUGAUACUGGUGUAAAUUAUCAUAAUCUGGUGUUUUCAACAAGCAUUUGUCUACUUACCGUAUGAAUAAGCCACUGUCCUGCUUUCGAGGCUAUUUAUUUAGUUAUAAUAUACAAGGUCAACACAAUGUAAUGUAGCAACACUAAACCGAGCCUAAGGUGAUGGAUGAAUGUUUUCAGAAGUAGGGUUUUUGUUGUCGAUUGUGUAAUGCCUUCAAUGUACUAGUUUGUUUAUUUAUUAUGUUAUGCAACAUUGGAUGAUGUUUAAAAUGUAAUAUCAUGAAUUUCUUACUGUUGAUGCUUUGCAUCAACCAACCAACCUUGCUUCUUAUUACCGUACGCAUAUACAUGUUGAUUAAUAAUUCAGGGUUUUAGACACUUGUGCCACUGCGUGUGCUAGCAUCACUUACUGAAGGUCAGAAAAUUUUGUUGUUGCCACUCUAGCUCUUGUCCGUAUUCCCUAUACCACUCUUAAAUUUGACAUUCCACCGUUGCCACUCUAGCUUUUAACAAUGCUUCACAAUCUGCCACUCUGUAUAGUCAAUGCUCCGUUUUGACCAAACGGAGUAGGGAAAAGACCAUCUUGCACUCAGUUUUUUGUUUUUCUUUUGCCACCAGUUUUCGCCAAUUUUGAUCUUGCCAUUGGAGCAACUUCUGAAUGAUUUUAUUAGUGCUAAUUCAGUCUCAGAUUUUGGCAUGGCCUAUUCAAAAAUCUGACAUCACAUGUAAUUAUACUAUUUUUCCUUUUGUAUGGUUGCAACUUAACUUGAUGCUGUUUUUUUUUAAUAUGCAGUAUGCAAUAUGCAUAGCCUGGUGAAAGAAAUACCCUUAUGAAACCGUGAUACUCGAAACUGGGCGAAGGCCGAUCAAUUUUUUCCAUCAUGAGGAACAUUUGCGUCAUCUUAUUGAAUUCUUCUGUGGUCCUAAAUUUCUGUCAGGACAAAAAGGAUAGCACAAAUUAACCGGGUGUUUUAGAAAAACCAUUGUCUUGGUUUCACGGCGCACAUCCAGUUGCUGCAACCUGAGCCAACUAUACGUUUCCCAGCUAUCCAAGACAGCAUUGUGGUAUCCGCUCAAGCACACUAUCAAAGAUCCAAAACUGCUCUCUAAUGGCCACGGAACACAGCAGCACAUAUUAAUUGCACGUACUAAAGGCUCUGCUUCCGAUUACUUGUGGUAGCACCUGGAUAUGUCAUACAGUAUAUCCUAAGAUCGGCUAAAGUAACAAGAAAAUUUUCUAGAGUGAUGAUAUACAUAAUACCACAAGUUUUUUUUUCACCAAUAGCAACGGUCAGGUUUCAUCGGAUAGGACGAUGGUGCCCCUCUUCAAACACUAAGAAUACCCGAGGUCCGGUUCCGCGGAUCUCUCUUUCUCCCACUAUCGCAUUCCUAAUUGGGAUUGGCAUCUUUUUUUUUCUCCCUGAUGAGGUGGUGCGAGAAAUUUCAGAUGUACUAAUUUCUAGAAGCAUUUGUUCUGAUACUUUUACAUGGGAUCUUCUGUUCACUCUGACGAGCUUCGGGCAAAACCAAUUCCCAAGGUGUGACGGGCGGUGUCGCGAGUUUGCAGAGAUGAGAACCAUGAAAAGCAAGAUCUUGAAUAAGAAAACAGAAACCAAGGAAGAUGAAACGGACACU